GUGCUCACUUCAGCAGCACCUAUACUAAAAUUGGAACGAUACAGAGAAGAAUAUCAUGGCCCCUGAAUAAGGAUGACAUGCAGAUUUGUUAAAUGCUCCAUAUUUUU
rnacentral:snRNA from 1 species